rnacentral:misc_RNA from 1 species
UCACCGUAGGUGAACCUGCGGAGGGAUCAUUACAGAGUUCUCGCCCUCGCGGGUAGAUCUCCCACCCACUGUUAUCGUUACUGUGUUGCUUUGGCGGGCCGCCGGGCCCCGCUCGGCCGCCGGCUCCGGCUGGCGCGCGCCCGCCAGAGGCCCAGCAAACUCUGAAUGUUAGUGUCGUCUGAGUACUAUAUAAUAGUUAAAACUUUCAACAACGGAUCUCUUGGUUCUG